rnacentral:rRNA from 1 species
UCAGUAACGGCGAGUGAAGCGGGAAGAGCUCAUUCUGUGAAUCUGUAUGCUCUUUUGGUAUACCGAGUUGUAGAAUAUAGAAGCACAUCAGUGCGAAUUCCGGUCUAAGUCUCUUGGAAAAGAGCAGCUAAGAGGGUGAGACUCCCGUUCUUGGCUGGAAUUCAAACUUUAGCAUGUGGUUUCGACGAGUCGAGUUGCUUGGGAUUGCAGCUCAAAGUUGGUGGUAAAUUCCAUCUAAAGCUAAAUAUCGGUGGGAGACCGAUAGCGUACAAGUACCGUGAGGGAAAGAUGCAAAGAACUUUGAAAAAAGAGUUAAAGAGUACCUGAAAUUGCUGAAAUGGAAGCGAAGGAAACCAGUGCCGUUCUGUAUCAUUCUUCCGUCCUUGCUUGCGAGGGUGGCGCUGUGAUGCAGGAUAGGCCAGCGUGGGUUUGAGCCGAAGGAAGCAGCUCUUCAGGAGGCAGCGCAAUUUCUGUGCGAUUACUGUUGAGCUUUGCUUCGGCUUGGACUGAGGCUAGUCACUUGUGCUCGUGACGCUGGCGAAAUGGUUUUCUUUACCCCGUCUUGAAACACGGACCAAGGAGUCUAACAUAUGUGCGAGUAUAUGAGUGACAAACUCACAUGCGAAAUGAAAGUAACAGUGGUUGGACCUUCUGGGCACAAUCCGCCGGCCACAAUCCUUCGGGAGAAAGGUCUGAGUGUGAGCAUACAUGUUGGGACCCGAAAGAUGGUGAACUAUGCCUGAAUAGGG